GAUGAACGCUAGCGGCAGGCUUAAUACAUGCAAGUCGAGGGGCAGCAUGUCCCGCAGCAAUGCGGGAUGAUGGCGACCGGCAAACGGGUGCGGAACACGUACAGAACCUUCCUUCGAGCGGGGAAUAGCCCAGCGAAAAUUGGAUAAAUACCCCAGAGUAAAUUGAAAAGGCAUCUUUUUAAUUUUAAAGAUUUAUCACUUGAAGAUGGCUGUGCGGCUGAUUAGGUAGUUGGCGGGGUAACGGCCGACCAAGCCUUCGAUCAGUAACUGGUGUGAGAGCACGACCAGUCACACGGGCACUGAGACACGGGCCCGACUCCUACGGGAGGCAGCAGUAAGGAAUAUUGGGCAAUGGACGCAAGUCUGACCCAGCCAUGCCGCGUGGAGGAUGAAGGUCCUCUGGAUUGUAAACUUCUUUUAUAUGGGACGAAAAAAGGGCUUUCUAGCUCACUUGACGGUACCAUAUGAAUAAGCACCGGCUAACUCCGUGCCAGCCGCCGCAGUAACAC
rnacentral:rRNA from 1 species